UAGAAUGACGGGACCGCACAAGCGGUGAUGAUGUGGUUAAUUCGAUGCAACGCGAAAACCUUACCACCUUGACAUGUACGGAAUCCUUAGAGAUAGAGGAGUGCUCGAAAGAGAGCCGUAACACAGGUGCUGCAUGGCUGUCGUCAGCUCGUGUCGUGAGAUGUUGGGUUAAGUCCCGCAACGAGCGCAACCCUUGUCAUUAGUUGCUACAUUCAGUUGGGCACUCUAAUGAGACUGCCGGUGACAAACCGGAGGAAGGUGGGGAUGACGUCAAGUCCUCAUGGCCCUUAUAGGUGGGGCUACACACGUCAUACAAUGGAUGGUACAAAGGGUCGCCAACCCGCGAGGGGGAGCCAAUCCCAUAAAGCCAUUCGUAGUCCGGAUCGCAGUCUGCAACUCGACUGCGUGAAGUCGGAAUCGCUAGUAAUCGUGAAUCAGAAUGUCACGGUGAAUACGUUCCCGGGCCUU
rnacentral:rRNA from 1 species